rnacentral:lncRNA from 1 species
UUUUUUUUUUCCAUUCUUUAUAAAUUUUUAUGUUUUUUUUUCUAGUCUUACUGCAUCGGCUCAAAUUUUCAGCACAAGCUUAAUAGAAGUGAUGAUAGCAGGUACUUUGUUCUCAACAAACCUCUUAUACUUUUCACCACUGAGUAUACUACUUAUCACAGAUGUUUUUUAGCUUUCUAAGUUCAAGGAAGUCACCUGCUAUUAAUCAUUUCUAAAGAGUUUUUUUUUAAACCAGAAGUGAACGUUGAAUAUAUUAUGUUUAAAUCCUGGAAUUUCCACACUGAGUUCAAACUAUGGUGAGACGGUCAUGUCUGAACUUAAUGAACUUCUGGACUCUGGAGAUGCAAGUAGAGCCCUUUGGUCUGUGAACAGCAGUGGAGACUUCAGAACUAAUUUAAAUGGAACUUCAGUAGAACAUGUUCACUUCACAGAACACGUUCCUUAUGAUUUAGACAACACAACCUCUCCCUACUCCAUAAUAAAUGAGAUUUUAGUGAGAUUCUGAGAGCAGAACAAACAUAAUAGGCCCCAAAAAAGACUGCUAAACAAUACACAAAAGGAUAUCCUCUGGUGGCAGCUUGGGACAUCUACGUGUAAAUGAUCAGACCUAACACAAAACCUUGUGCAUAGAGCUACAUGUACUAUAUAUAUUACAUACACAGUAAUAAGUGCUUUCUGAUUGGUUUAUUGCGCAAUGGAUUCUACCUUAUAUUUUAGCUGACAUUAUUCAUAGUCAAUGGUAGAAAAUUGUGGUAGUACAUACAGAACACUGUAUCCUAAAUACCUGGUUGGUGCAAUGUCUGAGACAAAUUUAUUUUGAAAUAUGUUUAUUGGGGAUCCCUGGGUGGCGCAGCGGUUUGGCACCUGCCUUUGGCCCAGGGCACGAUCCUGGAGACCCGGGAUCGAAUCCCACAUCUGGCUCCCGGUGCAUGGAGCCUGCUUCUUCCUCUGCCUAUGUCUCUGCCUCUCUCUCUCUCUCUCUCUGUGACUAUCAUAAAUAAAUAAAAAUUUAAAAAAAUUUAAAAAAAGAAAUAUGCUUAUUUUGUAGUUUUUAAAAAUAAAUAACAUUAAAUCAUUUUAGAAUUUUAAGUAAAACACUUUUUAAAAGGAAGUACUCUCAUUUUUAGUAACCCAAAUGUUCUCCUUUCAGAGUUGCAUUGAAAGAUGGAAAAUUGGGAUGCCUGGGUGGCUCAGUGGUUUAGCGCCUGCCUUUGGCCCAGAGUGUGAUCCUGGAGUCCUGGGAUCGAGUCCCACAUCGGGCUCCCUGCAUGGAGCCUGCUUCUCCCUCUGCCUGUGUCUCUGCCUCUCUCUCGCUCUCUAUGUCUCUCAUGAAUAAAUAAACAAAUAUUUUUUUUAAAAAAAAGAAAGACGGAAAAUGAAUUUGCUUUAUUCCUGAGGAUGUAUUAUUAAAAAGAUUGAAGACAGGUAUACUACAUGCCAAAUGUCCUGAGGCAAAGAUUUUUCUUCUUAAGUAGACUGAUAUUUAAAUAAAGGCUCUGCUAUAGAUUUUAGUGAAUUCUGACUAUACUUUUUAUAUAAUGUGGCAAGUCCUGUUAUAAUUAUGUCCACUAAACAUGUAAGUGAUUAAAAUGGUCAUAAAUUAUCUUAUGCAGAUCAAAGCAUAGGUAUUUGAGCUAUGAGGAAUUUUGAGCAAAAUUUCCCUCCCCCCACCGGCCCACCUUAGGAGGAAGUCCUUUAUAAGAAGGGAGUCCAACUUCAAGCACAGUUGACAAAUCACUGGGUACAACUAGGAAAAUAAGGAAAGCCUCAGGGUUGAACUGUAAGUAUGCAUUUGGGAGGUACAGGGGUAGUCAGCAGAGAAGUGUAUGAAAACAACACUGAAAUGAGAACACCACUAAAAAAGGUGCCAGCUGCCACCCUGGGACAUCAGCUGAGCUCCUCCAGCAGGUGCUUUUGGAGGAAGAUCUGAGUGAUACAUCCCCAUGGUCAUCAAACAACAAGCAUCAGAUUUAGGAAUCCCACCAAAUCAUAUGCAGGACAAACAAAAAUAAUUCUACAACUUAGCACUUCAUGGCAAAACAUUAGAACAUGGAGGACAAAAAGACCUUAUAAUCAACAUGUGUAAUCUUCUGUGAUCAAUGCUCCAGGGAAGAGGUAUAGACAGACCAGUUCAUCCAGUCUCUGGAGAGUAUGUAACACAACCACCCAACUGCUAAGUUCAUUAUAAAACUGGAGGGAAAAAAAAAAAAAAAAACUGGAGGGAUCUGGAUCUAGGUUUUGUAAAAUAAAUGCAACUAUUGUGGCUUUUUAGACCUCAUUUUCUAUUUAAUGAAUGGUAGUAUACAAUAGAAAACUAAUCAUCAAACUCUUGUGUUAGUCACAAAAUCCAUUCUGAGACGGUUUCUAUAUUUUCUGGAAGACUAGAGUAGAAGCAAGGACUAGUAGGCUGUUGGUUGAAUUAUUUGACUAAGUUUAGCUUACUUGCUUUUGUGGCCUAAUUCUGUAUAACUGACACUGUUUCUAACAUUCUCAUCAGGAUUUUUCUAUUUAAGCUCAAGUGAACAUUCCCUCUGUAAUUUUCUAAACACAUUGAGAAAUAUUAAGUUUGUAUCACCCUUGGCAGCGGUCUUUUUGUAUAGUGCUGUAGGGAGGUUGUAUAGAAAUAAUAGUUUAAAGAUUUAUUUAUUUGAAUGAGAGAGAGAAAGACAGAGAGCAUGGCAGGGGAAGGAGCAGAGGGAGAGAGUCCUCAAGCAGACUCUGGGCUGAGCCUGGAGCCUGAUUCAGGGCUCAAUGUGGGGCUUGAUCCUAAGAUCCUGAAAUCAUGACCCGAGCCCAAGUCCAGAGUCGGACACUUAACCGACUGAGCUGCCCAGGCACCUCCAGGAUGUUACUGUUAAGUUUAAAUGUAAGUCCUGCUGCAGGCAUGCUUAAUUCACAGAUCAGACCCUUAGUGCUAUGCGACCUUGAACAAAUUACUACGCUGCUUCAAUUUCUAUUUUCUCAUUUCAUCCCGAUGGAACUCUUAUGUUCUCAUUAUAUCACAUCACUUCUUGGUUCUCUGAAAAAUACCAUUUUCUGUUUGGGCUCAGGGUCUUACAGAUGCUGUUCCCUGUCACCAGCACAUCUUUCACUUCCACACCUCCUAGCCAUUUUAUCUGGCUUAUUUUUAACUCAUUCUUCAGCUCUUAGUUUAUAAAUUACCUCCAGGAGGUUUUUUCUGACCCUCUAAGUAUUAAUUAGCUAAUGAAGUGUUAUUAUUACAAUCACUUCAUUUUUGCCCUGAUUUGCUAGUGCAAGGGAAUGAGGCCAAGAGAAGUCAACUGACUUGCCCAAGGUUAUAAAGCCUGUCAAGGGCAGAGCCAAGGAAUGAUGCCAGGAUUGUUAU